AUUGAACGCUGGCGGCAUGCCUCACACAUGCAAGUCGAACGGUAACAGGUCUUCGGCUGCUGCCGAGUGGCGGACGGGGGAGUAAUACAGCGGAACGUGCCCGAUCGUGGGUGUUAGCGGGGCGAAAGGUUUGCUAAUACAGCAUACUACCUACUACGGAAAGCGGGGGAUAUUCGGAGCUCUCCCGACCGUGGCGGCCGAUGGCAGAUUAGGUAGUUGGUGGGAUAAAAGCUUACCAAGCCGACGAUCCGUAGCUGGUCUGAGAGGAUGAUCAGCCACACUGGGACUGAGACACGGCCCAGACUCCUACGGGAGGCAGCAGUGGGGAAUUUUGGACAAUGGGCGAAAGCCUGAUCCAGCCAUGCCGCGUGCAGGAUGAAGGCCUUCGGGUUGUAAACUGCUUUUGUACGGAAAGAAAAGCAUCUUGCUAAUAAAGAGGGGUCAUGACGGUACCGAAAGAAUAAGCACCGGCUAACUACGUG
rnacentral:rRNA from 1 species